CCUACGGGUCGCAGCAGUGGGGAAUAUUGCACAAUGGGCGCAAGCCUGAUGCAGCCAUGCCGCGUGUAUGAAGAAGGCCUUUGGGUUGUAAAGUUCUUUCAGCGGGGAGGAAGGUGUUGUGGUUAAUAACCGCAGCAAUUGACGUUACCCGCAGAAGAAGCACCGGCUAACUCCGUGCCAGCAGCCGCGGUAAUACGGAGGGUGCAAGCGUUAAUCGGAAUUACUGGGCGUAAAGCGCACGCAGGCGGUUGAUUAAGUUAGAUGUGAAAUCCCCGGGCUUAACCUGGGAAUGGCAUCUAAGACUGGUCAGCUAGAGUCUUGUAGAGGGGGGUAGAAUUCCAUGUGUAGCGGUGAAAUGCGUAGAGAUGUGGAGGAAUACCGGUGGCGAAGGCGGCCCCCUGGACAAAGACUGACGCUCAGGUGCGAAAGCGUGGGGAGCAAACAGGAUUAGAUACCCGCGUAGUC
rnacentral:rRNA from 1 species